rnacentral:lncRNA from 1 species
AUGAAGACGUUGCAGGAAUUGUUUAGCGAGAAAUCAGCCUUCCCGAUCCAGCUACGAUCCAGAACCCGGUCACGUCUGCUUAGGAUUAGGUGGGAAACUGGUUGUCUCAUCUCAGUGCUGCACAGACAGAGGCACAAAAGGGAUCACCUAUUUUACUCGAGACCUAAAACGAGCAGCGGCGUCAAGAUCAAACCCCAACUCUCCUACCUCCCGGCCCGAGUUCUCUCUAUCCUAGACGUCGCCGGCUCCUUCAGUAGGUUGUUUCUCUUCUCAAUCAUUAGACGCCACCGUGUGAAGCGUAUCCGGAAGAAGCACCGGGUAGCUGCCCGCCGUGACUCUUUUCAGAACAGAUAUAGGAAGAUAGAGAAGUUCCCGCUACAUCCAUCUGUACCAAGACCAGACGACCUUCCGCAUCCUUGAUACCUAGCAGAUAAACCCUAGCGAUAAACCUCACGAUAUUGCGGACUGUCUGGAAAGAAAUUGGACGGUCACUGUCGUCGAUGCACCCAGACUGUAUUUUAGCGUUAUUAAGGUAAGGUGGAGGUCGGUCGAUUUUUUUCGACGGCCGUUUGAUUUCCGCAAGUCUGUCGUUCUCACCCCCGAUCGGAAGUAGAGUCAAUUCGGUGGCUGGACGUGGAAAACUAGGUGAGAAAUUUUGCUUCCCUCUCUGUCCCUAACACUCUGCCAUUGUCUUUCCUGAAAUUAACUCCGAAGCAGCGUCCUUGCUUUUGCAAUCGAUUUCCUGGAGCUUUUUAUCCUCUCAGAGUUGUGCGGAUCUUCGAAGAUAAUUUACUGCUCUCUCAUUAUUCUGUUCACGUCGUGUUCUGGUUGACAGGAAGAUGAUUAAGAUUCAGAUCGUUUUGAGUCAAGUAGUAAAUGCAUUCGGGGUUUAGGAGGAGACGAGAGAGUAAGAAACCUCGGACGAGUGGCCCGAUCCGCUCAGCCUCCCGUCUCGGACGACGGUAACAGAAGCUGCUUGGAGGAACUGGGUGCCGGUUGCCCGCUUUGAUAUCCGUCCUCCAGGUACCGCCUGACAUCUCGAACUCUGGCCUCUGAGAUGCUACCCUACAUCUACUGAAUCUUCCUUGAGCCUUCUGACCCUCUUAAUUUCUCUCCUACGUCCUUAUCCUGGGGGAAGCAGCCCGGGCUUCGGAGUCAGGGGUCGUGAGUCCGACUCCCGGCUCUGCCGCUUGUCAGCUGUGUGACUGUGGGCGAGUCGCUUCGCUUCUCUGGGCCUCGGUUCCCUCAUCUGGAAAAUGGGGAUGAACCGUGAGCCGCACGUGGGACGACCUGAUGACCCUGUCUCUCCCCCAGCGCUUAGAACGGUGCACGCGGUAAGCGCUUAACAAAUACCAACGCUAUUAUUAC